UUUCCGUAGGUGAACCUGCGGAAGGAUCAUUACUGAGUGAGGGCCCUCUGGGUCCAACCUCCCACCCGUGUUUAUUAUACCUUGUUGCUUCGGUGAGCCCACCUCACGGCCGCCGGGGGGCAUCUGCCCCCGGGCCCGCGCCCACCGAAGACACCUAGAACUCUGUAUGAAGAUUGCAGUCUGAGCAAAAACUAAAUAAGUUAAAACUUUCAACAACGGAUCUCUUGGUUCCG
rnacentral:misc_RNA from 1 species